UGGAUUAUUCACUUUUGGUAGGUCUUGAUGAUAAUUCUGGACAAUUAGUUUUAGGCAUAAUAGAUUAUAUUCGAACAUUUACGUGGGACAAAAAAUUAGAGACUAUGGUUAAAAAAUCAGGACUUUUAGGUGGUCAAGGAAAAUUACCAACGAUUAUUUCUCCUGAAGAAUAUAAAAAUAGAUUUGUAACAGCUAUGAAUUUAUACUUUUUAUCUGUACCAAACAGAUGGACGGGUAUGGCUAAAGGAUUUGAACAUCGGUUUUAAACAAUAUAUUUUAAUAUUAUUUCUGUGAUAUUGUUGAAGUAUUCUUUUGUGUUAUUAAUUUAAUUUGAAAACCAAAUAGUUAAAUUUGUUUCUCGGUCUUAACAAAUUAAUGUACUUGUUCAAAAUUAUAAAAUUAUUAUAUAACAAAAUUUUGUUUUACUCAUAUAAAAAAUAGUAAUAAACAAUGUUAAUGUUUUUGUCAAU